rnacentral:lncRNA from 1 species
AUGUCCCCUGAAGGGAAAGUGGGCCCAGCUUCUCCAGUGGGAGUUUUCUCAUCAACUCCGUGUGGAGAUGGGAGUUUGCACAGCUCUGCCUUUUCACAGGCUGCUUCUCAACAGCCAGCACCAGGAGACCUGGUAGGGAAGAGAGACCCUAUGGGGAUCUUCUCUCAUCAACAGGGCAGGAAGAAGAAUUGCCCCGAGACCUUCACGGGAGAAAGUUUCCACACAGCAGACGUUCUCAGAUUUCACCAGAGUCGUACUAUUUUCCCGCAUCUAGACACCACCAUACAACCAAGAUGCAGGGCGUGAACAGAGAAUUAACGCAGCAGAGCCUUCGGCAUCUGGCCAGGCUCCUGAUGGCCACGUCAAGCUUUUGUCCUGCAGCAAGUCGACUGGGUCAGCCUGUGCCUAAGUUGGCCAUCAGGAAGGCAAACGACCGUCAGCCCGCUCAGCGACCCUGGCCUUCUUCCCCAGAGAUUUGGCUCCAUCUCUUCAGCACUGAACUCAAUUAG